rnacentral:rRNA from 1 species
CUUUUCUGGAACGUGCGCGGGCUCAAUAGCGCGGCCAAGCGCAUGGCUGUCCGGUCUGUUAUUGCUUCGGCUUCUCCCUGUAUUGUUUGUCUCCAGGAAUCUAAACUUGCUUUGGUCUCGUAGGUGAUUUUUUGUGAGACCCUCGGCCCUGCUUUCGACAAGUUCUUCUGGUUGCCCGCGGAGGGCACGCGCGGCGGCAUCAUCUUAGCUUGGAAUAGCGCCCUGGUCGCCCUGUCUAACCCGUCCAUCGGCGAUCACCAUGUCUCAGCCGUGGUCACCGCCACCGCCGGUGGUGCCCAUUGGUGGAUUACUGGCGUU